GGGGCUGUAGGCACCAGGAGAGGUUUCCCUUGCAGUGGGUGCCCUUGUGAAGGGGCAGAUGGGAUGGGAGCUCUCCUCUGACACCCUUCGCAGCUCAGAUUGGCUCUGUUGUAUUUCCAUUUAUGUUCUACCACUAAACAUUCCUCUUCAGUGUCUCUCAGCACUGCUGCUUUUAUGCCAGUGCUCAAAAUCCGGGCAUCUCUGAAUAGCCUUGUAAUCCUAGGAGGGAAGCACGGCACAGAGUAGCUAAAGUAGCUUUCAUGAACCAGACUUGGAGCUGGGACAGAAUGAAUGCGAAAGCUGCAGUGCAGAUCUAACAUAUGUUUCCUUAUUGCCAAACUCACGAGAGAUGUUUCUACAGGCUCCAUGGACGAGGCUGUCCUGUGAGCUGGCAGCUGCUGUGGCAGGGGGGGGGGGGGGCGCCGGUGUCGUAGGUGAUGGUGCCUGGCCAGACCGUCCUCGCACGGGACGAUCCCUGCUAUGACAUCUGGUGCUGGGACACGUGUACGGGAAGGAGCUGCAGCAGCCAUGGACCCCAGGGUGAAAAAUACAGGUUCAGCGAAACGGGCUGCCUCUCCUGGACUGGGUCUCACGGCGGGUUCCUCCAAAGGGAAGCCUGGAGGGAAAACACUAGCAACAGAGGUGGAGAUAGGACCGCGAGGGGUUCGGGCAAGGAACGGGUCCAUACCUCCAACACGGGGAGCUCUAAGUCAACAGGAUUUGGGAAGUGUCUGCUUGUAGCACGACGGUCCUGGCCAGAAACACCACUGUCCCGUUAGCGGUCUACCCCGUCUUCGCUGCCAGCCGCUCCAGGUCAGCGCUACCUCGAGCAGGACGUUUCGGAGCUUGCCUGGCGUGCCGUGGCACCUGCGCCAGCGCCGCCUUUGCAAGCGAUGGAAGAUGCUGGUGGGGGCCGGCGCGGGGGGGACGCGUCUCCGGCUGGGAUCUGGGGACACCGAGCGUCUCUGGAAACGCAGAGCCCGAGGGGUUGGCGCCCUGGGGACAGGGAGAGCGUGGGGUGGGCUGGAGGGUACAGAGAGGGGGGGCGGGUUGGGAGAGGAAGCGUGGCGGGGGGGGGAAGGGGGAGCCCGGGGC
rnacentral:lncRNA from 1 species